rnacentral:rRNA from 1 species
GUGAGGAAUAUUGGUCAAUGGGCGAAAGCCUGAACCAGCCAUGUCGCGUGAAGGAUGAAGGUCCUAUGGAUUGUAAACUUCUUUUGCAGGAGGGUAAAGUGAGCUACGUGUAGUUCAUUGCAAGUACCCUGCGAAUAAGCAUCGGCUAACUCCGUGCCAGCAGCCGCGGUAAUACGGAGGAUGCGAGCGUUAUCCGGAUUUAUUGGGUUUAAAGGGUGCGUAGGCGGACUAAUUAGUCAGCGGUGAAAUUUUGCGGCUCAACCGUAAAACUGCCGUUGAAACUGUUAGUCUUGAGUGCGGUAGAGGUAGGCGGAAUGUGUGGUGUAGCGGUGAAAUGCUUAGAUAUCACACAGAACACCGAUUGCGUAGGCAGCUUACUGGAGCGCAACUGACGCUGAGGCACGAAAGCGUGGGGAUCGAACAGGAUUAGAUACCCUUGUAGUUCC